rnacentral:lncRNA from 1 species
CUCCGUUCUUCCUCGCUUGUGCUCCCUGCCAACUUAGCAAACGCCGCCUUCUUCACCUCCACUUUUCCUUUGACUACAUUGUUCCACCACCAGUCACCUUGAUGUCUGCCUGAAUAGCCCAUGGCUACCGCGAGCACGUCUCGUGCUACCUCCCUAAUCAAGUUCGACGUCUCUGACCACAUAGCGUCCGCUUCCCCGGAACUUCUCCAAGCUCCGCCCUCAGCUAACCUCCUCUCCAACUCCUGUGCUUUCUCCUUAGUCAAAACACCCCAUCUAAUCCACGGCUGUCCCCGAGCAGCCUUCCUCUUCCUCUUCACCCAGAGACCGACAUCCAUUACUAGGAGUCUAUGAAGAGUCGAAAGGGACUCUCCCGGAAUAACCUUUCAGUCCUUGCACAUACCCCUAUCGCUCCUUCUGAGGAGGAGGUAAUCAAUCUGAGUCCUCGCCGCCGAACUCUUGCCGGAAUAACCUUGCAGUCAUUGCACAUACCCCUAUCGCUCCUUAUGAGGAGGAGGUAAUCAAUUUGAGUCCUCGCCGCCGAACUCUUGAAGGUGACCAAAUGGUCCUCCCUCUUCUGAAAUGUCGAGUUCGCAAUCAGAAGCUCGGAAGCCCUGGCGAAAUCAAGCAGUGAAGUGCCUCCUCCAUUCCUAACCCCAAAGACGAAGCCACAGUGCACCUCACAAUAACCCCCAGCAUCAGCCCCAAUAUGACCAUUAAAAUCCCCUCCAAUAACUAACUUCUCAGAUUGGGGAAUACUACUCACCAGAUCAUCCAA